UACGGAGGAUGCGAGCGUUAUCCGGAUUUAUUGGGUUUAAAGGGUGCGUAGGCGGACGCUUAAGUCAGCGGUAAAAUUACGGGGCUCAACCUCGUCGAGCCGUUGAAACUGGGUGCCUUGAGUGGGCGAGAAGUACGCGGAAUGCGCGGUGUAGCGGUGAAAUGCAUAGAUAUCACGCAGAACUCCGAUUGCGAAGGCAGCGUACCGGCGCCCUACUGACGCUGAAGCACGAAGGCGUGGGUAUCGAACAGG
rnacentral:rRNA from 1 species